rnacentral:misc_RNA from 1 species
UGAACUACUACUAUUAAGAAUGUGCCACUUGGUCAAGCCAACCUUGCUCCAAUCGUUUGGCCAAAUCCCAAUUAGUUUGAAAAAUGAACCCCCAACUCUAGAAUCGCUUUUACUAUUAAUUGAUAUUUGUUCUAGAAUAUUGUCAUUACUAGUUUAGUAAAGUUUGCUUAGCUUAAUUAUAUUUGCCUUGCCUAUUGCCUAUUGCCUAUUUUCUUUUAUAUCAUUAAAAUAGAUGCAAAAUUAGCCUAAAAUGCCUAUAUGAAAUGAG